GCUAUGUAGCUCAGUGGUAGAGCACCUGCCUACAAUACAUGAAGCCCUAGGUUCGACCCCUAGCACUGGCA
rnacentral:tRNA from 1 species